ensembl:lncRNA
UAAACAGUAGUGUGUUUUGAAAUAUUAUGGAGAAAAAAAAUCUUUAAGUAAUAUGCAUGAAUGAAUUGUGCACGGUUGGGGUAUUUAUUCAGAAAAUAAAUUAAUGUCUUAAAAAAAAUUCACAGGGCAUGGACUGAAAUAAAUCUGGAGAUCUGUCACUCUGUAUUAUGAAUAAGUAUGUACAAACUGAACAUUGAGCUGAUUUAAUUUCAGUGUUUAACGCUUAACAUAAAUCUGUUUUACUGCAUCUCUGAUUUGCAGCAGAGCAGAUGGAGUUGCAUAAAUACUUUACGUCUCUCUUCACAAUCACUCCCGCUGAGGAUGCUGGGAAAGCGGACAGCCCUGCAGAAUCCUGUUUAAGCAUCAUAGAGUUAGAUGAGAAGAUGGUUGGAGACGCUAUAUUUUACAGAUCCUUUGGAGUCAAGCAGAGAAAUGAGAGCAAAAUGUUUGCAUCUGUUGGAAAUGAAGAUUUAUCUGGAGGAGAUUUUGGAUAUUCAGUCUUGCCUUCCACACCGUCCUUCUCCGACAUGACCAAAGGAUCCUUCAGUGAAUGUAAUUCUGACACAAAGAUCAGCUCUUCUCCUGAGAUGUGGCCGCCGUCUCAAGAGACCGAACAAUCUUCGUCAUCAUUGCCAAGAUCAGAAAGCUUUUCUCCACUUCAAACGAGGCUUCAGAGAUCACAGCACCUGUCGACUACCUCAGAGCCAUAUCUGUUGAAUUCACAAACAGGAAGCCAGAAAGUAGAACUCAGUGACUCUCCAAAACCAAGCCCACGGACGAGAUCUUCUGCAGCAAAAUGGGAUAAACCCUCAGAGCUCCUGCCAACAUCAUCUCCUUCACUCCCAAAAACCAAAUUAAAUCAAACUCUCCCAGGCUUUGAGGACCAUAUUUCCACCGUCAGCCCCUCUCCUGGUAGAGUGGCAUCUGUUAGGUCUUCUCAGUGUCAUUCUCCUGCUUUACUCAUCUCUAAACAAAGUCCAAAACCUCCAGAUUCUCCAUCCCCAUGGUCUAGAUCAGCUUCGUCUCCAGUCAACCCAAUCCAAUCCAUACCUACUCAUUCAACACCUGUUUCUGAAUCAAAAUUAGGCCAACUGUCUCCAGAAUUUGCUAUCACUUCCCCAAGAGCUGCAGUUCCUUCAUUAAAGCAGUCAUCUAGAGAAUCAUCACCGUCUGCAUUAGUCUCAGAUAGACGUACAUCUGCUAUGCCUACCUAUGACUCCAUCAGGUCCUCUACGCCGAGAGUUGAAUCCUCUCAUAUUUACAGGCACCGUUCACCUCAAGCCUCCAAAUGGUUAAAGGCCUCACGAAGGUCACCCAAAACUACAGUGCUCUCCUUACAGCUGAGCAUGUCAGAUUCAGAAGAGGAAAUGACAGGUGAAGAUGCUUGCCUGGUGCCCAGUGAGGAAGACUCAUCUGAUGAAGAACUGAGACGAAUCACAGAUGAAGAAGCACAAAAGAAUUGCUUUCCCUCUCCGUGUCCCACCACAUCCCCUCUAGCAGACCCUCAUUUCACUUUCACAAACCUCACAAAGUCAGAACAUGACAACCAAGAACCGGACCUGUUUACAGGAUCUUCUCAGGCUGUUCAUUAUUUAGCCCAGCGACAGGACAUCCAAUCGGGGCAGUACCAAGACCUAGAGGGGAUCCUGACUUUGGGACUGGACCCUGGAGUCCUGCAGCCCAGCCCAGCUCCAGCUCAAACCUCUACAGAAGAGCAGAGCCACACAGGGAGUUUGCUAGCUGUAGGGCAGGAGUCCUGGAGAUCCAGCAGCAGUCUUCAGCAUCACGCAGAGGAAGAGCUGGUCGCUGUGCUGAUGAACGCCCGGCCCAUCAGUAGCACCCCUCGUCCGUUCACACCAUGCCGUAGCAGAAUGUCAUCACAGAGGCUGUGUUUCAAAGGCACCAUAAGCAGAUGUUCUCCCAUCUCUACUCAUCGUCCAGACACGUCAAACCGGCCGCUGUCUCGUGCCGCUCAGGAGAUCAUGGAGGUCCAGACGGUGCAGCAGCUCGAUCUCCAGGACUCUGAUGAGGAUGAGGAGGAUUGCCUGGCUCUGGCCUGUCUUGAGGAAGAAUUCAGAAAUAUGAGCACUACACAAUGGGAUGAGGCUUGACAGGGUUCAUGAGGGUUCUGGAUGAAGGGAAGAUGAAAGCACUGAAGACUGCAUGAAGCGGCAGCAUGCAAAUGAAGGGAUGAAAAGCAGAAGGAUUUCCCCUACAGAGAGAGAGAGAAUCCGCCACCGGUCACUGAGUGCAGACAGGAAACCAUUAGUGCUGGCUUGAGUGCUCCUGCCGGACAUCCUCAUUUUAAGGGACAUCAGGCGAGCAGAACAAAGUCAGUACUGCACAGAUAGGCCUUGAAUUCAGUAGGGCGUUAUUUGCGAUGGCUAUAUUCAAUAUAAAAUGUCUUUAAAAUCAAUAUUUUGAAAUGUGUUAAUAUUUUGCCUAUUUAUUAUAUUAUUCAAGCCGGGGCUUCCCAAACAUUUUUUGUCACCUGAGCCUAGUAGAUGUAAAAUGUUUAAUGGAAAUUCCCACUGGGAUUUUAAAAUAUGAAUAUUUUACUACACAUUUGAAUGUUCAUGGUUCUCUGAUACUGGUUAAUGGUCACAUUGACAUACAAAUAAACAGGUUUUUUAUACUUUAAUUAUAAUUACU